CCAACAUUAUAAAUAAAAAUUUCAUCCAUGUAUCAUCGAUACAAACCCCUCAUAUACAAAUUGUACCAACAAUGUAGAACAUAUUCUUUCCAUACCAUUUUAUGAUACGUGUUUGGUUGAAUACGAAAUUUAAGAAAGAAACAAAAGCAUUUGAAAUAUGUGAUCUAAAACAAGUCAUCACUCAUUACUUCCUUUUCAUACACCAGGCGAAUUCCCCAGCAGUGUAGUUCUCCCUACUUCCUGUACAAAUCAUAUACCUCCAACAUGUAAUAAUCAUUUGGAUUCUUCCCUUCUUUAUUGCCAAAACCAUUCCACAAUGUUUCAAAUGGUAUGUACCAGCAACAAAUGAAAGGACCGAUGAACCUCGAAUAUCGAUGCAUGCUGCUAUACUUCAAGGAAUAUUUUCUUUCAGGGUCAGAUUUGCAGACCAAUGUAGCUUCUAAUCUUGUGUACUGUUCAGCAAGACAGUAACAUAUCCAAAAACCCAUGAAUUUAUCGGUAUGCCAAGAUGGGUUCAGAUCAAUUGACAUCUUUUGUUGAUUUAUAAACCAAUCAUAAUUGAACAACUCUGGAAUUCUGUCUUGAUCAGGGAAACAAAUGACAAAAUAAUCCCUUUGAUGGAAGUCACACUGCAUGCAAUAGAAUAUAAAUUAUUAUUAUUACUACUAGAAAUCAAUCAAUUUGACGAGAAUAUUCAACAUUCAUAUAUGAUGAGAUAAAAACCUGGAUGCAUGUCCUGAGAAAAUGCUGUAGGAACACAUUAACUUGUUCAUUUGAGACGGCUCCACAGUCUGAUAUUAUGAGCCUACACAGCUUAAGAGAAUUAAUUACGAGAUCUCUGAUGCUCUUCAAGGCUAAAUGAUAAUCUGCUAAUAGCUCUUCUAAAUUUGGGGGUAGCUCUCCUGGCAGUUCAUUAAGAUUCUGACAGAACUGUAUGUUCAGGAAAUGAACCCAUGAGAGUUUGUUGAUGUUUUUGGGUAAACAAGAAAUAUUGCUUCCACUUACAUCCAACUUUUCCAAAGAGUGCAAAGAUCCUAAAUCCUCAGGAAGUCCACCCAAUAUGUUGAGAUUACUAAGAUCAAGUGAUGUCAAGGAGGAUAAACCUGAUACUCGAUGCAAGACGAAACUUGAGGAAUAUUGAAGUUGUUUUUCAUGUGAGAAUCUUAACUUCCACAGUUUGCCAAGCUUAGUGAUGGAGGAAGGUGGUUGGGAGAGUGCAGUAUCGCUCGCAUGAAGUAUCACUAGCUCUUGCAGAUCACCGAUGUUUUCUGGAAGCUUCUCUAGCCUUUUGCACCAAUUGAGGAAAAGACGUUGAAGAUUCAUCAAAUUACAGAGGCUGUCUGGUAGACUUACAAGAUCUUCACAACGUUUCAGACAUAGCUCAGUGAGGCUAAGCAGAUUCCCAAUGGAUGAAGGUACUUCUCUUAUCCCAGUAGAAUUCAGAUUCAGAUAUUUCAAGUAAUGCAUAUCUCCUUUGAUUUCUGGAAAUGUAUCUAAUUUUGGGGAAUUAGAUAUCUUGAGAUAUAGAAGGGAUUCCAUCUGAAUAGAGCUUGGAAGCUUCUUUAAGUUCUCACAUCUAUCUAUUUUUAAAAUACAGAGUUUCUUUUGAACUCCAAGAGAUAUUGGGAGCUUUACCAAUCCCGAACAUCGGUGUAUUUCAAGAUGUUCCAAUAGCUGUGAUUCGAAGAGGCUGUUUGGCAGUGUUUCAAGUUUAUUGCAAUCUGAAAUACUGAGAUCACUAAGAUUUCGAAUAGUGUCUGGAAUACAUUCAAGAACUUCACACUCAGUCAAUUGCAAAUUUCUAAGGCCGCUGAAAGACGGGGGUAAGCUUCUUAUCCAGGGGGAUCCUAGAUGGAGUAUUGAUAAGCGCCGCAUAUCUCCACAGAUUUCUGGAAAUUCUUCUAAGCUUGUGCAUUCAAGGAGAUUGAGAGUCUCAAGAGAUUCCAUGCAGACAAAUUUUGGAAGCUUCUCAAGUUUGCGACAACCAUACAAACUCAAAUAAGUAAGCAUUCUGCAAUGUCCAACAGAGGGAUGGACCUCUUCCAAAUUCACACACCUGCUUAAAUGUAGCAUCUCCAAGUUUGGCAUAUCACCAAAAUUAGGGGUUUUUGUUAACCCAAGGCUUCCGCUUAGAUCCAAAUUCUUCAAAUUGCUCAAUUUCUGUAUUCAUUAAAAAAAAAACAAAAAACUAGUUAACUUAAGUAGUACUCCUAGUAGAAAUAUUUUAUGGGAAAAAAAAUAAAGAGAAGAGAAGGUUGUUAUGAUCAUUGAAGGCUGUAGAAAAUGCGGAAAAGUGGGAGUAGAAGGUAACUCUAUCAACCAAAGCUAGAAUAGAUGGAAAAAAAUCACCUAGGGGUCGUUUGGUAGAGUGUAUAAAAAUAAUGCUCAAUAAAGUGUAUUGGCAAUGCUUGUAUUAGUUAUGCUUGCAUUAGUUAUGUAUAGAUUAUUUCUCAUGCAUUGUUUUGUUUGGUGUAUUAAAAAUAGUAUGCAUUGUAUAAAAAUAUUUAUUUACAAAAUAUUCUCCACAAUUAUGGUGUAAAAGAUGUAAAAAUGCUUUUGAGGGGUAAUUGAGUCUUUAACCAUGCCAAUAGAUGUAUUAAAUUUCUUUGCAUUACUAAUACCUAGAAAUCCAUGACACUCCACUAAUACAGGGAUUUGAACUUGAGAUCUCAUAGUGCUCAAUUCACUUCUUUGACACCUAGUACACACCCUUGGGUGCGCUCACAAGUUCUUUAUUAGGUAGAUAUAAUUGCAGGAAGUAAAUUACUAUACAAUUAUAAAUUCAAAAAUAUUUUACAUCAUCACUGUGAUGAAGUACUUCAUUUAUAUGAUCGUGAAUGUCAACAAAGUACACCUAAAUAUAUUGAAGAUUUAGUUGGGAAAAGAAAGCUGAUGGAAAGAGAGGGGGAGACAUUAUGUGUUUGAUUUUGUGAUGAAGUUUGUACUUGUAAGAUCAAUAUUUGAACUUUCAAGUGAGUGAUUACCAAAAAUAAAUAAAAAUUUGAUGUUAAUUGUGUAUAUCAGAACACUAGUUAUGGAAACGUGCUUGUACGUUUAUUCCAAAAUAUUUCAUAUAAAUUUUGUAUUGUAAAUGACAUAUUUUAUUCGCUUCAAAUUUAUUGGUAUUUACUAAAACAGAUCCACCGUUUUUACGAUAGAAAGUACAUAUAUCUUCCUAAUAAAAAGAAUACAUCCUUAAUUAUAAAAUUGACUAAAAGUGCAUAAAGUAAAAAUAACUAAUUAUUGUACAAAUACAAUAUUCAAAUAAGUACACUAAAAUACCACAUGCUAGGUUAAUGUCUACAAAGCAACAAAGCACUGUAAAUUCUCAAAUUAAUGAUAAUAAAACAAUAAAAAGUUAUACAAUAACAACAAACAAGAGACAUAAACAUUAAAAAAAAGACAAGAGAAGAGAUCAUAGAGAUGUGAGUAAAAAUAAUAAUAUUGUGUCAAAUGUCAUUAUUUAUAGGAUAGGAUUGAAGAACACUUUUUUUAUAUAUAUAUAUAUAUAUAUAUAUAAGAAGUUGGUAUUAUUGGGAUUGUUGGAAGGCUAAAAGAUUGUAAUUUAUUCAACUCCUAAAUCUUGUAAUUAUUCAUUUUUCUACUUUCUGGUAAUUAAAAUCCAAGUUUCAAUAUGCCUCUUUUUGGCAUAGACAAGAUAAAGAUUUAGACUUGACAAUUUUAAGAUCCAAUAUGAAUGCAAUUACAACUGCUACAAGAAAUUAGAUCCUUCACAAUACUCUUCUCUCGAACUAAUUAACGAGGGUGAUUUAAUAAAUAUAACUCAUGAGGGUUAUUUAAACAAAAAAUCCACAAAUGAACCGAAAUCAACAUAUAUAUUUUGAUUCCUACUUCACGCGAGUAAUCAAAUAUUAUUAUUAGAUAAAAUCAAAGAAAUUAGCAAGUCAUAAUAUUCUUGCAACUAACACAACUUCCUCCUCUUCUUCAAAUCAGAAACAUCAAACAUCUUAAUGGAGUAAUACUUACACACCUAAGUAAUUAAAUAAAAACAAAGGAAAAAAAGGAAUAGCUAGCAGCUUAAACGUUGAACAAAGAUGUCAUGCAUCUGCUGCCCCUGAUGUCGUGACAUAAUUAUUAGCAGCCUAAGAAUCCUUCAUAAUCAGGCACAAUUAAUAACUUAAAACAUAUGGUUAAGAGAGACGAUAUAUGAGUCAUAGCAAUGGAACUUCUUAACAGACACAUUGAAGAUAAAUAAUGAAAAAGAAGGAGAGGAGGAGGACUGGUGGUAUUGAAACUCCGGAAGAGAAUCUCAAUGAAUUUAUCACUGAUCUGGUCAUUUAUAAAAUUCUAAAGCUGCAGUUGGAAGUUUAAAAGAACUUCCAAACAUUGAAUUAGUGUAGGAAGAUGAGAAGUUAUUCUAGAGUAUUGAAUAGGUUGCAAUAAGUGGCAAUUGCAAGAAAAUUAAUCCACCCCUUUGUAUACCCAAAUACUUAAUUGAUUGUUAUUAAACUUAAGUAUGCAACGUAUGUGUCCAUUCUUGAGUAGUAUUGAAUAUGAUAGAUAAGUAUGCAACGUAUGUGUUCAUUCUGGAGUAGUAUUGAAUAUGAUGAUUUUCUUAAUUAAUGAUAGAAUAUUUAAUUAAUUAUAUUUUAUAAUAAUUUAAUUUAGUGUAGGGGUAAAAUGGUAAUCUAACUUUUCACUAUGGAGCUUCCCGCUUAUAGUAAUAUAUAUGAAUAUAUGAUAUGAUAUAAUGAUUAGUGUAGGGGUAAAAUGGUAAUCUAACUUUUCACUAUGGAGCUUCCCGCUUAUAGUAAUACUAGUCUUCGCUCACGUGCGUUGCACGUGUACCCUAUCAAUUAAUAUUGAGUUUUUAAAAAUGACACAAGUAUAAAAUAUAUAAAUGAGACAUAAAGUAGAUUUUAUUUAAAAGAAAUAUACUCGUAAACUUAAAACAAUGAAGGGUGAUAUGUAUACUCCAAAUUUUGUGAAUCAAUUGAAACACCAAGUAAUUUUACCCUAUUAUCAAAUAUAGAUAUGGGAACCAUAUAGUUAUUCACUGGUCACUUGUAUUACAUAUUUGCAUGACUUUUCGUUUUUUCAUUUUAAUUGUUACCAUAAAAGUGAGAUUAAACCUUAUUAUUUUAAUUGUUACCAUAAAAGUGACAUUACUACGAUGACUUUCUGAAAGUCAACGUCUCUACGAUCCUAUAGUAUGUGUUGACAGUAAUAAAUACAUUUCUUAGAGGAUGAAAAAGUCUGUCAAAGGAGAUAAAGAAGCGAUAAGUAAAAACCUUUUCUAGUCUAGAUAGAAAGCACACUGAAGCUAAGCAAAUCAAAUACCAUAAAACUAACAAAAAAGAUGAUACUCAAAGAAUACAUCAAAAUCACUAAACAUAAGAAUCAAAAGCACAUAGCACUAAAAAAACCACACAAAAUUAAACAAUACAGACAAAUUGUAUUACAGAUUAUUAGCACAAUUUGAUGAAAACAAGAUCAAAAACUUGAAGAAAAUAUAAAAAAAUUCAAGAUUAAACAAAUAAAGUAAUAAAAAAAGAAAAAGCAUAAAGAUUCAAUAUGAAAGAAAUAACCUUUAGUGUCUUUGCUACUUCUUGUAUAAUCUUUUCUCUAUUAACAACAAACGGUAAUAAGAAAUAGUCACUGACACAAGUCCCAAGCCAAAAUUUAAAUUGUUUUUUGAUAAAGAAGAAUUGAUAUACACAUUUAUUAAGGAAAAUGGAACUUUUGGUCUUUCCUUCAUUGUAACUGUUUCCCAAAGAAUUUGAACCAUUGUGUCUAGAGGCAUGAAUUAAAAUAAAAUUAUUAUUUAAUAUUAAAUUAAUUAUAUAUUAAUAUUUUAUUUAGUUUAGAGGUAAAAUAAGGGCAGAAUGGUAAUUCAACUUUUAAGUUAGGAGCUUCCCACUUAUAAUAAUAUAUGAUAUGAUAUAUGAUAUGAUAUGAUGAUAUGAUUUAUUUAAAGUAGCAUUUAAAUCAUGGAUGAAUUAAUUUACAUGCAUUGACCUAUCAAAGCAUUUAUUUCAACCUCAUUAUAUACAUGAUUUUCUAUAAUUACAACUAUUUGUUCAGAAUUAUUAUUCCAUUAUUCUGUACAACAACUUUGCAACAACUCCAGUUGAUGUCUAAUAUUUGUAAGAGAGUGUUACCUUUGAUAUUGGCCAAAGUUCAACAAGCCUACUUUCAGGUAAACAAAGCACAACGAGCUGUGAUGGUUCAAAGCUCUCUGGCAAUGAAAUUGAAGGAUACCCCCACCACGUAAUAAACCGCAGGCUGGAAGGAAGAUAAGUGAUAGUGCAGUUUGUGCUAAAAGCUCCAUCACCAACUAUGAGUGUUUUUAAGCUUUGCAUCCUCUUGAAAAUAUUGCUAUAAUUGUCAAAAUCAUCUUCAAAAUAGUAAUCUUCUCGGAUACAUAGGCUUUCCACCAUUUCUGUUAUCUGUAAAGAAUGAAGCAUAUAUUUAAUGGCUAACAAAUAAAAAAAAAUGAAACACAAAAGAUUAAUACAACUAUGAGCUUACGAAAUUAUUAAUUAAGUUAAAUAUUGCUUACCAACUUUCCUUUAAAAAGGUCAUAAACCUCCUCGGGAAGCCAUAUUCUGCUGUUAGCGUACUCUUCCCGUAUGACAUUUUCUCCCAUUUUUCUUAUCAUAUUAUGCAUCACAAAUAUAUUACUUAUGUUGAUGGAUAAAAGAGAUUUUUCAACAAGGUAAUCUAUUAGAAAACCACGACUCGGGUCUCUCAGUACUGAUUCCACACGAAAAUGAAAAUUAAAACCACCACAGUAUGCAAUAUCUAGAAAUGCAAUAUCUAGAAAUAAUUCCUUCUCAUCUUUGUCCAGAGCAUCAAAACUAAGCCUAAGCUUUCCUAGAAUAUCCUUGUGAGGGAUUCUCUUCAGCCGAUCAAUUAUGUGUCUCCAGUGCUUUUUGUCUCGUCCGUAAAAUGAAGAACCCAAAACUUUAAGAGCUAAAGGGAGUCCACCAGCAUGCUCCACCACUUGUCUUGAAAGUUCCAUAAAAUCUUCUUUUGGUGAUUUUUCUCUAAAAGCAUGCCUACUGAACAAUUCAAGUGCUUCAUCCUCAGAUAAUAGUUGGACUUCAUACACGUUAUCCCCAACGUGACUUAUUAACAAGUGCUUGUCUCUUGCUGUUAAAAUAAUUCUGCUACCCCUACCAAACCAUUCUGGCUCUCCAACCAAAAAUUCCAACUGUUCUUGAUGGUUUACAUCAUCGAUGGUGAACAGAACUUUCUUCCAGCGAAGCAUAUUCUUUAAAAUAUUCAUCCCUUCAUGCUCACUAGUUAGAGUCAAUUUUUCACCCAAGAGCUUGCAAAUGACGACUUGUUGUAGCCAUGUUAGUCCCUUUUUCUGAUGAAGUUUUCCAACAUCACCAAGAAAACAAUCAGCUUCAAAUUGAUGGCGGUAUCUUUGAUGUAGAACAUUUGCAAUUUCUGUUUUGCCGAUGCCGCCCAUACCCCAAAUACCAAUAGAGCGAACAUCAUUUGAUUCCAUAUCUAAUAAUGAGGUUACUUUAUCAACCUGAGAUUUCAUACCCACUAAGUUUUCCGGGAAAGGUGAAAUAAUUUGAAGUGACUUAGGAAAUAUGUCAUCAACUAGUUUCUUGACGCACUCAGCCUCAUCCCUACAUUACAGUGGAAAAUAAACUCAAAGUAAAUAAAUAGAAAAGCAAAGACUUGUCAUAGACUAAUAUCUAAAACAAACACAUAAUAAUGUCAAUUAUGAAUUAUUACAUUUUUAAAUCUAAUUACAUCAUCAAACAAUCAUAUACGUCUCUGUUUUCCUUUUUCGGUAAAAGUAUAGCUGAUGAUUGUGUGGAAUUGUAGCUAAAAGUUUGGUCCUUUUCGCUCUUGAUAAAGAGAAACCGGAAAAAAAGAAGAAAGCUUACUUGAAAUUAAGUAAAUGAUAGCCUGAUAUUUUCCCUGCCUCCACAAAUGCACCCCUCCAUCUCUGAACCUUCUCCAUAUCAUCUUUGCAUUUUUCCUCAUGUUGUAAAAAUGAAUCAGCAAAAGGGGGAUGUUGAUGGCACACAUCUGAUUGACUCACAUCAUAGAAGACUGGAAUCACAAUCUGCUCCAAUUCCUUUUUACACUUUAUGAUGUGUGCAAGCUCCUUUAAGCACCAUCUUGACGAUGCAUAGCUUUUGGAAAAUAUCACUAUAGCAAAUUUAGACUCUUGUAUGGCUUUCAAAAGUUCAUCAGAAAUUGAUUUUCCCGUUUCUAGUCGCUCAUCAUCUUUAAAAGUGCGGAUUCCUCUUAGUUCCAAAGAAUUAUAGAGAUGACUCACAAAGUUUCUACGUGUAUCUUCACCUCUAAAACUCAAAAAGACAUCGUACUUGCAAAUUUUGGAAGAUGAAGCAUGAGACAUUGUUGAAGAAUAUUGCUAAAGACUAACAGGCAAGUUCUCAGCACAACUGGCAAAUUUAUUUCUCAGCCAUAAUUUGGUGUAUGGGGAUACUUCCAUUCAUCUUCCUAUCUGUUACUAUAUAGAAUUAAAACAACCUGGUCAACAAGAAAGAAAAGACAAAGCUUAAUAUUAAAGAAUAAGGUUUCACCUACUUCACUAUUCCUAGGGAACUUCUUGUCAUCUUCCUAAUCCAUGAUUGUGAGAAAUUAAAGAGUAUAAAAAGACGCAACUUGGGCCGCCUUAGACCAAAAAAGGGAAGAAAAAACUUGUUAUCAUCUUCCUAAUUCAUUUGUACUACUUUUAAAAUAUUUUAUUGUAAAGACUUUACCUUUUUUUCAUUAUUCCAGACCUAUAUAGGAAACUACUUAUCAUCUUCCUAAUUCAUGACAUAAAAAUGUACACUUUUACAGUAUUGCACUGAUAAAUUAAACAAAUGAGCACCAAAUUGAUACCUUUCAGUAAAUUGAUAUAAAUUCGUUGCCCUACCUGCGAAAUUGAACAAAAUUUUCGUAGCAAUUUAGAAAAAAACACACAAAAAGCAGAAAAGAAAGACAAACCUCAUCAAAGAUAUUAAGCAGAAAUGAAGAGAACCACAAUCUAACAGCUGAUUGUUAAGUGCUAAAGGCAAAAUACUUUUUAAGCCCAAAAAAGAGAAAAUGGGUAUGUACAAGCAACAAAUGAAAGGAUCCUUGAAGCUCAAAUAUAGAGGGAUGUUGUUAUACUUCAAAGAAUAUUUUCUUUUAGGGUCAGAUUUGCAGACCAAUGUAACUUCUAAUUUUGUGUGCAGUAUAACAGGACCGUAACAUAUCCAAAAACCCAUGAAUUUAUAGGUAUACCAAGAUGGGUUCAGAUCAAUUGACAUCUCUUUUUGAUUUAUAAACCGAUUAUAAUCUAACAGCUCUGGAAUUCUGACUCCGGAAAAAGAAAUGAGAAAACAACCCCUUAGGUAGAAGUCACACUGCAUGUAAUAUAAAUUAUUAUUACUAAUAGAAGUCAAUUUGAUGAGAAUAUUCAACAUUCAUAUAUGAGAUAAAAACCUGGAUGCAUGUCCUGCGAAAAUGCUGUAGGAACACAUUAGCUUGUUCACUUGAGACAGUUUCACAUUCGGAUAUUGCAAGCCUACACAGCUUAGGGUAAUGAAUUACGAGAUCUCUGAUGCUCAUUAAGGCUAAAUGAUAAUCUGCAAAUAGCUCCCUUAGCUUUCCUGGCAGUCCAUUAAAUUCUGACAGAAUUCAAGUGACGCCACUUGAUGCAAAUCACCAAUGAUUUCUGGAAGCUUUUCUAGUCUUUUGCACCCUCUGGGCUCUGAGUAAAAGACGUUGCAGAUUCAUCAAAUUACAGAGGCUGUCUGGUAGACUUACAAGAUCUUCACAACCUGUCAGAUUUAGCUCAGUGAGGCCGCUCAUAUUUCUAGUGAACGAAGGCAUUUCUCUUAUCCCAGUAGAAUUCAGAGUCAGUUGUAUCAAGCAAUGCAUAUCUCCGUUGAUUUCUGGAAAUGCAUUAUAGAGAUGACUCACAAAGGUUCUACGUGUAUCUUUGUGACAUAACUUGACCCUUAGACCAAAAAAGGAAAAGAAAAAACUAGAAGUCAUUAUAUUUUUGCUGAUUUUAUUGUAAAGACUAGACUUUACCUUUUUUCAUUAUUCCAAGCCUCUGUAGAAAACUUGUUAUCAUCUUUCUAAUUCAUGACAUAUCAUUGUACCCUUUUGCAGUAUUGCAGUGACAAAUUAAACAAAUGAGUAGCAAAUUGGGGACAAAUAUAAGUUUUCCCCAUUUUAACUUAAUCAUACCUUCCUGUAAAUGAUAUAAAUUUGUUGCCCUACCUGAGGAAUUGUCCAGAAAUUGAAGAAAAAUUUCAUAAUAAUUUAGAAGAAAAAGCAGAAAAGAAUGACUGACCUGAGAGAACCACACCAAAAGCUAACUAUUGAGGUAUAUAAGAGCCUGUUUGGAUUCAGAAUAGUUUUAAAGUGUUUAUGUAAAUUUAAAAAGAAAUAGGCUUCAAUCAGCUUAUUGAGCUACAGAAGUUUUCUCAACUCACAAUGGAGCAUCCAGUUUUUAUAUUUACAUUAUAUAUACAAAUUCUAUGGAACAAUAUCACCGUAUACUUGAGAGUCAAUUAGCAGCAAACACAUCAUAAACAGAAAUACUACUUCUACUUUUUAUGGCUAAACAGAUCUUAUAUAAGCCCAAUAUCAGCUUCACAAAUGACAUACUAAAAUCUCAUACCCCUUCCAAUAGGACUCAAUUAUUUUUAAUAGCAUUAAUUUUCAAAUUAAAAAUGUCUCUCCCAAUCCAAGUUACCUUUUACAUAUAAAGGGAUCUUAGGAAGAUGGUGUGUACGUAACUUUACCCUUACCUAGUUAAGGUAGAGAAGUUGUUUCCCACUCAAACACCAACAUUAUAAAUAAAAAUUUCAUCCAUCUAUCAUCGAUACAAAUUCCUGGUAUAUAAUUAAUUUUCAUUUGAGAAGGGUACAUACAAAUUGUACCAACAAUGUAGAACAUACACUUUCCAUACCAUUUUAUGAUACAUGUUUGGUUGAAUACAAAAUUUAAGAAAGACAGAAAAAUAUUUGAAAAUUGUGAUGUAAAACAAGUCAUAAACAGACCUUUGCAUCAUUUGGGUUCUUCCCUUCUUUAUUGUCAGAAGCAUACCACAAUGUUUCAAACGGUAUAUAGGCACAACAAAUGAAAGGAUACUCGAACCUCGAAUAUUCAGGGAUGUAGUUCUACUCCAAGGAAUAUUUUCUUUCAGGGUCAGACUUGCAGACCAAUGUAGCUUCUAAUCUUGCGUCCAGUCUAGUAGGACCGUAACUUAUCAAAAAACCCAUGAAUUUAUCAGUAUACCAAAAUGGGUUCAGCUUAAGACAACAAAUUACGAGAUUUUUGCUGCUCUUCAAAGUUAGAUGAUAAUCAGCAAAUAGCUCCCUUAAAUUUGGGGGUAGCUCUCCUGGCAGUUCAUUAAGAUUCUGACAGAAUUAUACGUUCAGAUGCUGAAGGUGUAAGAGUCCUUUGAAGCUUUUUGGUAAACAAGAAAUAUUGCUUCCACUUACAUUCAAAUUUUCCAAAGAGUGCAAAGAUCCUAAAUCCUCAGGAAGUCCACUCAAUAUGUUGUGAUUAUUAAGAUCAUGUGAUGUCAAGGAGGAUAAACCUGAUACUUGAUUCAAGACAAAACUUGAGGAAUGUUGAAAUUGUUGUUCAUGUGAGAAUCGUAACUUCCACAGUUUGCCAAGCUUAGUGAUGGAGGGAGGUGGUUGGGAGAUUGCAGUUUCGCUCGCAUCAAGUAUAUGUAAAUCUUGCAAAUCACCAAUGUUUUCUGGAAGCUUCUCUAGCUUGUUGCACCCGUCGAGGUAAAGACAUCGAAGUUUCAUCAAAUUGCAGAUAUUCGAGGUCUCCUAGAUGCCCAAUGGAUGAAGGCACUUCUCUUAUCCCAGUAGAAUUCAGAGUCAGCUGUGUCAAGUAAUGCAUAUCUCCAUUGAUUUCUGGAAAUGUAUCUAAUUUUGGGGAAUUAGAUAUCUUGAGCUUUUGAAGGGAUUUCAUCUGAAUCGAGCUUGGAAGCUUCUUUAAGUUCUCACAUCCAUCUAUCUCUAACAAACGGAGCUUCUUUUGAACUCCAAGAGAUAUGGGGAGCUUUACCAAUCCAGAACAUCGGUAUAUACCAAGACAUCCCAAUUGCUGUGAUUCAAAGAGGUUGUUUGGCAGUGUUGCAAAUUUAUUGAAACCUGAAAUACUGAGAUCUCUAAGAUUUUGAAUGGCGUCCAGAAUACUCUCAAGAACUUCACACUCAGUCAAUUGCAAAUUUCUAAGGCUGCUGAAAGAUGGAGGUAAGCUUCUUAUCCACGGGUAUUUUACAUAGAGUAUUGAUAAGCGCGGCAUAUCUCCACAGAUUUCUGGAAAUUCUUCUAAGCUUGUGCAUUCAAGGAGAUUGAGAGUCUCAAGAGAUCCCACGCAGACAAAUUUUGGAAUCUUCUUAAGUUUGCGAUAACCUUCCAAACUCAAAUAAGUAAGCAGUCUGCAAUGUCCAAAUGAGGAAUGGACCUCUUCCAAAUUCACACACCGUGUAAAUUUAGUGUCUCUAAGUUUGGCAUAUCACCAAAAUUAGGGGUUUUUCUUAACUCACAGCUGUCCAUGAGAUCCAAAUGCUUCAAGUUGCUCAAUUUCUGUUUCCAAAAAAAAAAAAGAACAGUGAGCUUAACUAGUACUCCUAAUAGAAAUAUUUUGUAGGAAAAAAAAAUAAAGAGAAGAUAAGGUUGUUAUGAUCAUUAAAGGCGGUAGCCAAUCUGGAAAAGAACUUUUGAGAUACAUAAUUGUCUUAAAAUCCAAAUAUAUAUUUCUUUUCUUUUAAUUUCAUAAUGAAAAUAAAACCUCUUUAAACCUAGAAAUAAUUCCUUCUCAUCUUUGUCCAGACAAUCAAAACUAAGCCUAAGCUUUCCUAAAAUAUCCUUGUGAGGGAUUCUCUUCAGCCGAUCAAUUAUGUGUCUCCAGUGCUUUUUGUCUCGUCCGUAAAAUGAAGAACCCAAAACUUUAAGAGCUAAAGGGAGUCCACCAGCAUGGUGCACCACUUGUCUUGAAAGUUCCAUAAAAUCUUCUUUUGGUGAUUUUUCUCUAAAAGCAUGACUACUGAACAAUUCAAGUGCUUCAUCCUCCGAUAAUAGUUGGACUUCAUACACGUUAUCCCCAACGUGACUGAUUAACAGGUGCUUGUCUCUUGCCGUUAAAAUAAUUCUGCUACCCCUACCAAACCACUCUGUCCCUCCAACUAAAAAUUCCCACUGUUCUUGAUGGUUUACAUCAUCAAGGAUGAACAGAACUUUCUUCCAGCGAAGCAUAUUCUUUUAAAUAUUCAUCCCUUCAUGCUCACUAGUUAGAGUCAAUUUUUCACCCAAGAGCUUGCAAAUGACAACUUGUUGUAGCCAUGUUAGUCCAUUUUUCUGAUGAAGUUUUCCAACAUCACCAAGAAAACAAUCAGCUUCACAUCGAUGGCGGUAUCUUUGAUGUAGAAUAUUUGCAAUUUCUGUCUUGCCGAUGCCGCCCAUACCCCAAAUGCCGAUGGAGCAAACAUCAUUUGAUUCCAUAUCUAAUAAUGAGGUUACUUUCUCAACCUGAGAUUUUUUACCCACUAAACUUUCCAGGAAAGGUGAAAUAAUUUGAAGUGACUUGGGAAAUAUGACAUCAACUAACUUCUUGAUGCACUCAGCCUCAUCCCUACAUUACAGUGAAAAUACUCUCAGAGUAAAUAAAUAGAAAAGGAAAGACUUGUCAUAGAUUAAUAUCUAAAGCAAACACAUAAUAAUGUCACAAAGGUUGUUCCCCCGCUCUCCCCCCCCCCCCUGGUGUCAUAAGGUAGCUUAAAUCAACUAUUAUGAAUUAUAACAUUUUAAAAUCUAAUUACAUCAUCAAACAACCAGAUAGCUAAAAGUUUGGUCCUUUUUCCUCUUGAUAAAGAGAAACCCGAAGAAAAGAAGAAGAUCACUUACUUGAAAUUUUGUAAAUGAUACCCCGAUAUUUUCCCAGCCUCCGCAAAUGCACCCGUCCAUCUCUGAACCUUCUCCAUAUCAUCUUUGCAUUUUUCCUCAUGUUGUAAAAAUGAAUCAGCAAAAGGGGGAUGUUGAUGGCACACAUCUGAUUGACUCACAUCAUAGAAGACUGGAAUCACAAUCUGCUCCAAUUCCUUUUUACACUUUAUGAUGUGUGCAAGCUCCUCUAAACACCAUCUUGACGAUGCAUAGCUUUUUGAAAAUAUCACUAUAGCAAAUUUAGACUCUUGUAUGGCUUUCAAAAGUUCAUCAGAAAUUGAUUUUCCCGUUUCUAGUCGCUCAUCAUCUUUAAAAGUGCGGAUCCCUCUUUGUUCCAAAGCAUUAUAGAGAUGACUCACAAAGUUUCUACAUGUAUCUUCACCUCUAAAACUCAAAAAGACAUCGUACUUGCAAAUUUUGGAAGAAGAAGCAUGAGACAUUGUUGAAGGAUAUAAGACUAACAGGUAACUUCUCAGCCCAACUAGCAACAUUAUUUCUCAGCUAUGUGAAUGCAUAAUUUGGUCAAAAAGAGUGAAACAGUUGAGUUGACCAACCUGGUCAAAAAGAAAGAAAAGACAGACAAAUUUCCAGUUUAAUAAUAAAGAACAAGACUUCACCAUUUUCACUAUUCCUAGUCUUUAUGAGGAACUUGUUAUCAUCUUCCUAUUUCAACUUAUAAAAUGUUAACUUUUUCAUUACUGUGAGAAAUUAAAGAGUAUAAAAACAGACAAGAAGACUUACACCAAAAAAGGCAAAGAAAAAACUAAAGUCAUUACAUUUUUACUGAUAUUAUUGUAAAGACUUUACCUUUUUCAUUAUUCCAAACCUCUGUAGGAAACUUGUUAUCAUCUUCCUAAUUCAUGACAUAUAAUUGUACUCUUUUUCAGUAUUGCACUGACAAAUUAAACUAAUGAGCACCAAAUUGGGGCACAAAUUUAAAUCUUAACUUAAUCAUACCUUUCGGAAAAUUGAUAUAAAUUCGUCGCCCUAACUGAGAAAUUGCCCAGAAAUUGAAGAAAAAAAUCGUAAUAAUUUAGAAAAAAACACACAAAAAGCAGAAAAGAAAACUGACCACAUCAAAGAUAUAAGCAGAAAAGAAGAGAACCGCACUCUUAACUAUUGAGGUUUAUAAGAGCUUAUUUGGUCAGAUAUAUCAUUUUUAGGUUUAUCUUUAUCAAGAGGAAAAUGGAAUAAAGAUUCUUGACAAGCUGACGGAGUAUGUCGGAUUUUAGCGUUUUCUUUAAUAGUGUUUAUUAGCAAUAAACAAGCUUUUUUUUUUACUCGUAUUGAAGAUGCGUUUUUUUCUAAAAUGAUCCGUAUUGAGUUAAAUUAAAAAUUAGAAAGCAAGUAUUUGUGUUAAAUCAAGAUAGCCGGGAUGAUAUGAAAAAAACAAAAAUACAUGAUAUUAUUUAAUUUAAUUGAAUGUUUAAACAAGAAAAUUGAAGCACUUCCGUCAGUUAUUAUUCAUGCAAAAAUACAUUAAAAAAAAUCUCAAAAAAAAAUCAAUGUUCAUACAUUAAUUUUUAUUUUUUUUAAAAGGAAAACUAACGAACACAAGUUAUAUGGACAAACACCAACUAAAAAUCGCAUACCCUUUCCCAUAGGCAGUGGCGGAGGCAGGAUUUCCAUCGAGGGGGUUCAAAAAGAUAAGUAAGCACACUAUUAGUAUCCAUAUAAGCGGGGCGGGUCAAAUAUAAAUGGGUCGGAUCAGAUAUAAGCAACUAAAAAAAAUUCAACUCUACCUCAACACAAACAAUAAAAUCGAGUAAUCAUAUGUUUGACGAGAUUUGUAUUUUUUAAAACUAUAAUUAUGGGUCUUGUCUCUGUCAUUGUUGUAUACAAACGUUAUUUAAUUUUUGAAACUAACUAAGGAAUACUUCUAAAUCCGAUCAUACUGUAGCAAUAAAAUUUGCGUCGAUAAAAUAAUUAUCAAGGUUGAAAAAUAUCGCGACAAUUGUAUUUAUUUAUAAAUUUUAAAUGAUUACUCUUAUUUAUUUAAUCUUACUUAUAAUUAUAUUAAUUCUUAAUCAAAUAUAAAUUAAAUGUUUUCUUAAAAUGAGUAUGAAAGAAUGUAUUUUUAAUUUUAAUUAUGACAACAACGUUUAUAAGUUUUACUUAAUUUUAUAAAAAUGGAAAAUUAAAUUUAUUUUUUUAAUAUCUAAUAAAUAGUAUAAAUCUCAAUAGGUUUUCAAACAAAACAAAAAUUUUCAUUUAUUUAGAAAAUUAAAUGAAAAUCGGCUGAAAUAUGGGGGAAAAAAAUGCUGUUACAGGGAGUCGAACCUGCGACCCAGCACUUAUAUUGCGAAUUCUUGAACCCCCUUUACCACUAAACCAAGCCCUUAGCUUAUGUUCAGGGGUUCAUCACUUGGUAUAUACAUAUAAAUAAAAAAAUUGACCCUAUAUAUACCAUGUAAUUUUUCCAACGAAGGGGGUUCGGAUGAACCCCUUGGAUCCAUGUAGAUCCGCCCCUGCCCAUAGGACUCAAUUAUUUUUAAGAAGUAUUAAUUUUCAAAUUAAAAAUGUCUCUCCAAAUACAAAUAGCCUUUUACAUAUAAACAGACCUUUGCCUCACUCAUUGCUUCUUUUCUUUUUUCUAUGACCACUAUCAUCACUCAUUGCUUCCUCUUCAUACACCAGCCGAAUUCCCCAGCAUACUUCUUUCUCCAGCCCGUACAUGUGAGAAAACUCCAACAUGUAAUAAUCAUUUGGAUUCUUCCCUUCUUUAUUGCCAGAAGCAUUCCACAAUGUUUCAAAUGGUAUGUACCAGCAAUAAAUGAAAGGAUCAUUGGAAAAAGACCCACUCACCCCAUACUUCAAGGAAUAUUUUCUUUCAGGGUCAGAUUUGCAGACCAAUGUAGCUUCUAAUCUUAUGUACUUUGUAGUAGGACCGUAGGUUAUCCAAAAACCCAUGAAUUUAUUGGUAUACCAAGAUGGGUUCAGAUCAAUUGACAUCUUUUCUUGAUUUAUAAAUGGACAAUCAUAAUCGAACAACUCUGAAAUUCUGACUCUGGGAAAAGUAAUGAGAAAAUAAUCCCUUUGAUGGAAGUCACACUGCAUGCAAUAGAAUAGAGAUUAUUAUUACUACUACUAGAAAUCAAUUUGACGAGAAUAAUAUUCAACAUUCAUAUAUGAGAUAAAAACCUGGAUGCAUGUCCUGAGAAAAUGAUGUAGGAACACAUUAACUUGUUCACUUGAGACGGCUCCACAGUUGGAUAUUACGAGCCUACACAGCCUAAGACAAUUAAUUACGAGAUCUCUGAUGCUCUUCAAGGCUAAAUGAUAAUCUGCUAAUAGCUCCCUUAAAUUUGGGGGUAGCUCUCCUGGCAGUUCAUUAAGAUUCUGACAGAAGUGUAUGUUCAGACUCCGAAGGUGUAAGAGUCCUUUAAGGCUUUUUGGUAAACAAGAAAUAUUGCUUCCACUUAAACUCAAAUAUUUCAAAGUGUGCAAAGAUCCUAAAUCCUCAAAAAGUCCACUCAAGCCUAAAAUUAUCAGUUUCCCAAGCUUGGUGAUGGAGGGAGGUGGUUGGUAUAUUGCAGUUUCGCUCACAUCAAGCUUACAUAACUCUUGCAAAUCACCCAUGUUUUCUGGAAGCUUUUCUAGCUUUUUGCACCCGUUGAGUAAAAGAUAUUGAAGAUUCAUCAAAUUACAGAGGCUGUCUGGUAGACUUACAAGAUCUUCACAACGUUUCAGACAUAGCUCAGUGAGGCCGCUCAGAUUCCCAAUGGAUGAAGGCACUUCUCUUAUCCCAGUAGACUUCAGACUCAGUCGUGUCAAGCAAUGCAUAUCUCCGUUGAUUUCUGGAAAUGUAUCUAAUUUUGGGUAUUUAGAUAUCGAGAGAUCUAGAAGGGAUUCCAUCUGAAUAGAGCUUGGAAGCUUCUUUAAGUUCUCACAUCUCUCUAUUAUUAACAAACGGAGAUUCUUUUGAACUUCAAGAGAUAUGGGGAGCUUUACCAAUCCAGAACAUCCGUAUAUACAAAGAACUUUCAAUAGCUGUGAUUCGAAGAGGCUGUUUGGCAGUGUUGCAAGUUUAUUGCAACCUGAAAUUCUGAGAUCACUAAGAUUUCGAAUAGUGUCUGGAAUACAUUCAAGAAUUUCACAAUCACCCAAAUGCAACUCUCUAAGGCUGCUGAGAGACGGGGGUAAGCUUCUUAUCCAGGGGGAUCCUAGAGAGAGUUUUGAUAAGCGCCGCAUAUUUCCACAGAUUUCUGGAAAUUCUUCUAACCUUGUGCAUUCCCUGAGAUUGAGAUCCUCAAGAGAAUCCAUGCAGACAAAUUUUGGAAGCUUCUUAAGUUUGCGACAACCAUACAAACUCAAAUAAGUAAGCAUUUUGCAAUGUCCAAUAGAGGGAUGGACCUCUUCCAAAUUCACACACCCCUCUAAAUGUAGCUUCUCCAAGUUUGGUAUACCACCAAAAUUAGGGGUUUUUGUGAACUCACAGCUAUCCCUGAGAUCCAAAUGCUUCAAAUUGCUCAAUUUCUGUAUUCAUUUAAAAAAAAAACGAAAAACUAGUUAACUAAAGUAGUACUCCUAAUAGAAAUAUUUUAUGGGAAAAAAAAUAAAGAGAAGAGAAGGUUGUUAUGAUCAUUGAAGGCAGUAGAAAACGUGGAAAAGAGGGAGUCCCAUGUAAUUCUAUCAACCAAAGCUAGAACAGAUUAAAACAGAUGGAAAGAAAUCACCUAGGAGUCGUUUGGUAGAGUGUAUAAAAACAAUGCUCAAUAGAGUCUAUUAGUAAUACUUGCAUUAGUUAUGUAUAGAUUAUUUCUCAUGCAUUGUUUAGUUUGGUGUAUUAAAAAUUGUAUGCAUUGUAUAAAAAUAUUUAUGUACAAAAAUAUCCUCCACAAUUAUGGUGGAAAAGAUGUAAAAAUGCUUUUGAGGGGUAAUUGGGUCUAUGCUAAUACAUGUAUUAAAUUCAUUUGCAUUACUAAUACCUAGAAAUCCAUGGUAUUAGUAAUACACUCCACUAAUAUAGGGAUUUGAACCUGAGAUCUCAUAGUGCUCAAUCCACUUCUUUGACACCUAGUACACAUCCUUGGGUGCGCUUGCAAGUUCUUUAUUAGGUAGAUAUAAUUGCAGGAAGUAAAUUACUAUACAAUUAUAAAUCCAAAGAUUCAAAAAUAUUUACAUCAUGACUGUGAUGAAGUACUUCAUUUAUAUCGUGAAUGUCAACAAAGUUAGGUUCCGCCUAAAUAUGUUGAAGAUUUAAUUGGGAAAAGAAAGGUGAUGAAAAGAGAGAGGGAGAGAUUAUAUAUUUGAUUUUUGUGAUGAAGUUUGUACUUGUAAGAACAAUAUUUGAACUUUCAAGUGAGUGAUUACCAAAAAAAAAGAUUAAAAAAUUGGUGUUAAUUGUGUAUAACAGUACAUUUAUUUAAAGUAGCAUUUAAAUCGUGGACGGAUUAAUUUACGUGCAUUGACCUAUCAAAACAUUUAUUUCAAGCUCAUGAUUACGUUGAUUAAAAUUAGAAAAAGUAAAUUACAUGAAAGCGAGUUUAUAUACAUGAUGUUCUAUAAUUACAACUAUUUGUUCAGAUUUAUUAUUACAUUAUUCUGUACAAGAACUUUGCAACAAAUCUAGUUGAUGUAUAAUAUUUGAAAAUUUAAAACCAAAAUAGUAGAGUUAAUUGAUUUUAAUCCCUCGAAGGAGAAAACUUUGGUUCAAGCCGAUCCUAAUAGUAAUAUACAAUCAGUUAGCACACCAAUUGGAGUAUGUAGCAUGCGGACCGAAAAAGAUGGUAAUGUUAUGAGUCCUACAAUAGCUAAGGCUAUUCAAGAAAGUCAGGCUGCCAUGUUACUCAAACCCAAUUUAGCGAUCAAGCCACCCAUGGUCACAUUGAGCAUCUCAGCUCAUGAGGUCACUUCCCAAAAUUUGGAUUCACCUGAUGAACAUCAAGGUGAAUUUGGACAGCUCUUAUCAUCCACGGGAAAUGAUAAAGUUUUGGUGAAAGGUAUGUCACCACUCUGUCAAGCUAAUUUUACAAAUGAUUUGUUAAUUUCGAAAGAAAAACAACAAGGGGAGAUGAGUACUCCUAGGUGGGCUGAUUUUGGUUGAUGAAGAGAGCAUGUUUCACUCCUCUUUUGAAUAGAAAAUUAAGUCCACAAGCUCAAGAAUUUGUACCUAAAAGUACAAUUGCAAAGAAGAAUGAACAAGAGGCCUUAGCAUCAUGAUUUAGUCCAAUUAAUGCUUAUGCUAGUGAUUUGGGUGAUGAUUCUUUUGAUGAGGAUGAGGAAGAUAAUAUGUUGGACAUAUGCUUUGAUAAAGUGGCUAGAGAUGGGGAUAUCUCACCUAGGCAUCAAAGAAGUGGAAGCAACAAAAACAAAAAGAAGACACAUGGAAGACAACACAGAUGGGAUGGUAAUUUGACAGCGGAGUUUGUUCCAAGGCCCCUGCCGAUGCGACUGGCAAAGCAAAAUCAUAUGAUAGUGUCAAUAGCUUCAACAAGAUCCCAUACAUUCAAAAAGAAAUGAUGAAGUAUCAAAUUUUGUUGGACAUAUUUGAAGAAGACAAGAGGAAAAUACUUUAGGUUACUUUAGAUGGGCUAUCUAUCAUUGUUAAUUCACACAUUUGUAAAAAUAAGUUUGAGGUUGAUAACUCAACUUUCUUCUUGAAUUUUAUAUUUGUGCAUUAUUUAAGCAUUCUCAUUUGUAAUAUCAUCAUAGAGUGUAUUACGAAUUCUGUUAUGAUUAUAGAAUAUCUAGUUCUCUCUAGCUUUUAUUUUCUUCAUGCUUGUUAAUUAGUAGAGGUUCGUUACCUCAUAGGAUUUGACAAGGUAAGGCCUAGCCCCCCUUGCUUGUACUUAUUUUUUGUUGAGGAUUUUUGUUUUUAAUAAAAAAACUGCUAGACGCUCUGUCUAGUGGUAUUAAAAAUAAAUCAAUUUUGAACUAUAAAAAAUAAAGGGAAAAUGCAUAAGUACCCGCCAGCCUAUACCCGAAAUCCCAAAGACACACCUAACCUUUACUAAGGUCCUAUUACCCCCCCCCCCCCNNNNNNNNNNNNNNNNNNNNNNNNNNNNNNNNNNNNNNNNNNNNNNNNNNNNNNNNNNNNNNNNNNNNNNNNNNNNNNNNNNNNNNNNNNNNNNNNNNNNNNNNNNNNNNNNNNNNNNNNNNNNNNNNNNNNNNNNNNNNNNNNNNNNNNNNNNNNNNNNNNNNNNNNNNNNNNNNNNNNNNNNNNNNNNNNNNNNNNNNNNNNNNNNNNNNNNNNNNNNNNNNNNNNNNNNNNNNNNNNNNNUUCGGGCAUAGGCUGGGGGGGUACUUAUGCAUUUUCCCAAAAAUAAAUAAAAAAUACUUCAUUUAAGUUAUCUAUAGCCCAUUCCUAUAGAAAACAAAUACAGUUAUCCUACGUGGCACUAUCCUUGAAAAAAUUGUCAACACGCGCUGGGCCCACAAGAUAGUGCCACGUAGGCCGAAAAGGGGUAGAAAAUUAUAUAUAAAAUAAGUUCAGGGGGGUAAUAGGACCUUAGUAAAGGUUAGGUGUGUCUCAGAGAUUUGGGGCAUAGGCUGGGGGGGUACUGAUGCAUUUUCCCUAUAUUUAAAGCAAUUUCACCUUUGAAGGUUCAUAUAACAAAAAUAUAAAUAUUUAGUUAAGAUGAAUUACAGAAACAAGUAUAUAGCCAGCUGUCUAAUAAUUGUAAGAGAGUGUUACCUUUGAUAUUGGCCAAAGUUCAACAAGCCUACUUUCAGGUAAACAAAGCACAACGAGCUGUGAUGGUUCAAAGCUCUCUGGCAAUGAAAUUGAAGGAUACCCUAUCCAAUCAAUAAACCGCAGGCUGGAAGGAAGAUAAGUGACAGCGCAGUUUGAGUUAAAAGAUCCACCACCAACUAUGGGUAUUUUUAAGCUUUGCAUCCUCUUGAAAAUAUUGCUAUAAUCGACAAGAUCAUCUUCAAAAUAGUAAUCUUUAGGGAUACAUAGGCUUUCCACCUUUUCUGUUAUCUGUAUAGAAUGAAGCACAUAUUUAAUAGCUAACAAAUAAAAAUGAAACAAAAAGAUUAAUAGAACUACGAGCUUCCAAAAUUAUUAAUUACGUUAAAUAUUGCUUACCAACUUCCCUUUAAAAAGGUCACAAACUUCCUCGGGAAGCCAUAUUCUACUGUUAGCGUACUCUUCCCGUAUGACAUUUUCUCCCAUUUUUCUUAUCAUAUUAUGCAUCACAAUACUAUUAUUCAGGUCGAUUGAUAAUAGAGAUUUUUCGAUAAGGUAAUCUAUUAGAAAACCACGACUCAUAUAUCUCCGUACUAGUUCCACACAAAGAUGAAAAUCAUAUCUAGUCAAACAUGCAAUAUCUAGAAAUGCAAUAUCUAGAAAUAAUUCCUUCUCAUCUUUGUCCAGACCAUCAAAACUAAGCCUAAGCUUUCCUAGAAUAUCCUUGUCAGGAUUCUCUUCAGCCGAUCAAUUAUGUGUCUCCAGUGCUUUUUAUCUCGUCCAUAAAAUAAAUAACCCAAAACUUUAAGAGCUAAAGGGAGUCCACCAGCAUGCUUCACCACUUGUCAUGAAAGUUCUAUAAAAUCUUCUUUUGGUGUCACUUGCCUUGAAAGUUCCAAAAAUCCUUCUUUUGGUGAUUUUUCUCUAAAAGCAAGCCUACUGAACAAUUCAAGUGCUUCAUUCUCAGAUAAUAGUUGGACUUCAUACACAUUAUCCCCGACGUGACUGAUUAACAGGUGCUUGUCUCUUGCUGUUAAAAUAAUUCUGCUACCCCUACCAAACCACUCUGGCUCUCCAACCAAAAAUUCCAACUGUUCUUGAUGGUUUACGUCAUCGAUGGUGAACAGAACUUUCUUCCAGCGAAGCAUAUUCUUUAAAAUAUUCAUCCCUUCAUGCUCGCUAGUUAGAGUCAAUUUUUCACCCCAGAGCUUGCAAAUGACGACUUGUUGUAGCCAUGUUAGUCCAUUUUUUCUGGUGAAGUUUUCCAACAUCACCAAGAAAACAAUCAGCUUCAAAUCGAUGGCUGUAUCUUUGAUGUAGAACAUUUGCAAUUUCUGUUUUGCCGAUGCCGCCCAUACCCCAAAUACCAAUAGAGCGAACAUCAUUUGAUUCCAUAUCUAAUAAUGAGGUUACUUUCUCAACCUGAGAUUUCAAACCCACUAAGCUUUCCGGGAAAGGUGAAAUAAUUUGAAGUGACUUAGGAAAUAUGUCAUCAACUAGUUUCUUGAUGCACUAUGGAAAAUAACAUUGUUGGGAAAAUGAAUCAGCGAAAGGGGGAUAUUGAUGGCGUACAUCUGAUGGACUCACAUCAUAGAAGACUGAAUCACAAUCUGCUCCAAUUCCUUUUUACACUUUAUGAUGUGUGCAAGCUCCUCUAAACACCAUCUUGAGGAUGCAUAGCUUUUUGAAAAUAUUACGACAGCGAAUCUGGCAUCUUCUAUGGCUUUUAAAAGUUCAUCAGAAAUUGAUUUUCCCGCUUCCAACCGCUCAUCGUCUUUGAAAGCAUGGAUUCCUCUUAGUUCCAAAGCCUUAUAGAGAUGACUCACAAAGGUUCUACGCGUAUCUUCACCACUAAAACUCAAAAAGAUAUCGUACUUGCAAACUUUGGAAGAAGAAGCAUGAGACAUUGUUGAAGAAUAUUGCUGAAGACUAACAGGCAAGUUUAUUUCUCAGCCAUAAUUUGGUGUAUGGGGGAAACUUCCAUUCAUCUUCCUAUCUGUUACUAUAUAAAAUUAAAACAACCAGGUCAACAAGAAAGAAAAGACAAAGCUUAAUAUUAAAGAAUAAGGCUUCACCUACUUCACUAUUCCUAGGGAACUUCUUAUCAUCUUCCUAAUCCAUGAUUGUGAGAAAUUAAAAGACACAACUUGGGCCUUAGACCAAAAAAGGGAAGAAAAAACUUGUUAUCAUCUUCCUAAUUCAUUUGUACUACUUCUAAAAUAUUUUAUUGUAAAGACUUUACCUGUUUUUCAUUAUUCAAGACCUAUAUAAGAAACUACUUAUCAUCUUCCUAAUUCAUGACAUAAAAAUUUACCCUUUUACAGUAUUGCACUGAUAAAUUAAACAUAUGAGCACCAAAUUGAUACCUUUCAGUAAAUUGAUAUAAAUUUGUUGCCCUACCUGAGAAAUUGCCCACAAAUUGAAGAAAAAAUCGUAACGAUUGAGAAAAAAACACACAAAAAACAGAAAAGAAAGACUAACCUCAUCAAAGAUAUAAGCAGAAAAGAAGAGAACCACACUCUAACACUUUGUUUGGAUCAUUGUUAUCCAUUGUUUCAUAAUGUAUUGUAUUGUAUUAUACUCUAUUGUACUGUAUUGUGUUGGUUGAUACAAUGUUUGGCUAGACUGUAUUGUUUGUUGUUGUUUAAUAACAUUUUUAUUGUUUAAUUGAUUGUAUCGUAUUGCAUUGUAAUUUAUAAAUUUACUAAAACAUCCUUAAUUAUUCUAGGGUAGGAGGUUUGAUUAGAAUUAAAUAAUAUAAGGUAAAGGGUAAAUAGUAUUAUGAAAUAUUAUGUAAAGAUAUAAUUGGAAAAAGAAAUUAAGUAACAAUUGAAACACACCAAAUUGGUUGUUCCAUAAAAUGGGGUUUUUUAUUGUUACGUAACAACAAAAUUUAACAAUACAAUACAAUACAAUACAUUUUAAGUAACAAUGAAAACAAACAUUGUAGGUACAGUAACGAUACAAUACAAUAUAAUGGGUAACAAUGAUCCAAACAGAGUAUAAGAGCUCAGUGUUAAGUGCUAAAGGCAAAAUACUUUUUAAGCCCAAAAAAGAGAAAAUGGGUCUGAUAUAGUUUUUAAUUUUGUGAGUUAAGAGUUAUUCUAUAGAGAUAAGUGUCAAAAACACACUAAAUUAUCCUUUUUUUUUUUAGUUUUAUACCUAAAUUAUUGAGAGUGUGAGUUUUAUACCUAAAUUAUCAUUUUUUAGUUUGAAAAACACACCUCAGUGGUGUGUGUAAUGCACUCUCUCUUUUAUUUGAAAAAAUCUUGACACAUGACAUUCCACAUUGAUAAAAUAUUCAACCUUGACAAAAAUUUACAUAAGAGUAUUACUUGUAUUGUUUAAGUAUAAUUGCAUUACGAAAUAUAAUAAGAAUCGAUCCUUAGUAAAAAACAAGGGACUUGAUAUAAAAAGUUAAAAUAUGUAAUAGAUGUUAAAAAGUAUAAGAUCUAAAUAUCCUGAAAAUUAUACAAAUAAUUUCUCAAAUCUCAAAAAUCUUAUAAUUUCUAUAUCACAUUUCCUACCAACUAUAUUUUAUGUAUGUGAAAUAAUAAAAUUGAUAAAAAGAGAGUUGUAAAUAGCAUAUCCAUUAUAUACCUGAUGAUGAGAAGUGAAGAGCGCACAGUUGCCAAAUAAAAUCUGAAAAUGUAGAGAAAUAAAUAAGAAUUAGUUAGCAAACUCAAGAAAAUCUUCAUAUAUUAAAUAUACAUUGUUGAGAACUAAAAUGAGCAUAAGAGGAAUAAAGUAGUUACCAAUCAACAAUCUAUAUAUAAUAUAAAGCCAAAUGUAAAAAAAAGUGAUGUGGCACCUCUCUAAGGCCUUCAUUGCUAAUAUAUAUAAUAUAAAGCCAAAUGUAAAUAAGGUGAUGUGGCACCUCUCUAAAGCCUCCAUUGCUAUUUUUUUUUUUUUGACAUUUUUCUCUAUUUUAUCUUAUUUUUUAAUUAAAGAAUUAAUCAUAUUCUAUUUAGUAAUCAUAUUAAUUUAGUGUCUAUAAGUUAUUACAUUAAUUGCUAAUUAUUAUAUAUAUUAUAUUGAAGAAUGGAAAAGGUCACUAACUGAAAUCAAUAAAGCCCAAAAAAUAACCUUUUUCCGUUAUUACCCCAACUAAUAAAUUCAUAAAAUCUUUUUAUUGUCCUUUUCUUAUUCAUCCUUUUUUUUCUCCUCACUACAUUUUGUGCCUUUUUCAUUAUUUUCCUGCCUUAAUAUUUUGCAAAAAUUAACUAUAAUUUUAUUUAUUUUGUUCACCAUUUAACAUCAUUAAUCACUUUUUUCUAAUACCUUUCUCUAUUCCUUCUUAAAUAUAUUACUAAAUUACAAUUAAGACACUAAUAUCAAUAUAGUUACAAUUUUAUUGACUACUAUAUUACUCUUUUAAUUUAUAUUAUUCAAUAAAGUUACAAAUUUAUUGAUUACUAUAAAUACUAGAGCAUAUCAUCUUCACCAACAGUAAGAAUUUUUUCUCUUCUUCUUUCUUCAUUAUAUUUAUACUAAAGUGUACAUCACUUUGUUUACGGCUAAUUUUAUUAUAUAUAGAUGUCACUAACUUCUAUUAUUUACAGUGUAGAAGAUAAGAUGAGCAUAUGACAAUUUUGGGAUUUCAAACUCAAAUUCAAUUUUGAUGAGUAUUAUAUAUAAUUUAUGUUACUCUUCUCAUUUUAGUUUGUUUGAUGUCUCUUAUUUAUAGUGUUCUUUCUUAUUUAUUUUUUCAUUUGUGUUGUUUUUUUCCUCACUAUUUUUGAUUUUACUACACUUAUUAUUCCAUGCAUAUUUUUUGUGAAUAAGUUUUAUUGUUUAUAAUGGAAGAUGCAUAUGAUAAUAUUUAGGGAUUUAAGUUUAAGUUUGAUGAACAAAUCAGUAAAGGAUCCCCUCAAUUACUAAUUUGUCCAUUAAUCUUCAGUGGUAUAUUGGAUGUUGGUUAUGUCGAUAAAUUAAAUAUUAGAGGAAAGGAUCAUCUACCUUGGUACUUCUACAAAGAUUCUUUUAUCUAUUAAUUAAUUUUAAUUUAUUCUUAUACUAAAUUUUUUAAAAAAAAAUUCAGGUAAAUUGUUUUUAACCUUGAAGGCUUGAAUCGUUUAGUUCAUAGACCUUCAAGAUUUUUUUUUUUGAUUCAACAUUGUAUAUGUUUUUUUACCUUCACAAAAAAUGAAUUUAAUUUUUGUGUUGUUAUGUUAAGUUGAGAAUAAUAAAAUUAAUUUGAGAAUUCCAGAUUUUUUUUUGUUUAUGUUUACCUUUGAGAAUAAUUUAGAAAUAUUAACUAACUUAUAACUAAAGUUAAAGGAAUAUUAAUUUAUACAUAUAAUACUUUGAGUUUAAUUUAUUUGAAUACUUUAUAGUAUUUAUGUAAUUGAGGUUAUGUAUUUCUCAAUCUAUUCAUUUUAUAUAAAUAAAAUAUGUCGUAUAUUAUAAUUGUAGUAAAAAUUAGUCAAGAUAAAAAGUGAUUUAUAAAUAUUUUAUAAGCUAAGAUUAGUGAAAGGUGAAAAAAAAGGUUGAUUCAUUAUUAAAGAGAAUAAUAGCAACUUUCAUAAAAUAUGUAUAUUAAAAGGAAAAAAAAUAAGUAUGAAGAGACUGUCAUAUUUGUAUGAAAGAGUAAUUAUUUAAAAUUGUAAUUGAUCCUACUCAAAUCUCAACAAAUAUUUUAGAGCUAUUUUUAUUUGAUGAUCAAGGAUAUAAUAUUGUUUAAUGUUUUGAGCUUUCUAAAUUUGAUUUAAUAUUUGUAUUCGCGAGAAAGAUGCAAACAAAAAAAAUGUGUACAAACAAUGAAAGAUCGAUUUGAAAAAUGUCACACAAAAUUAUAAAAGUAAGAUUGAACACUAACUAAAGUUUUCAUCAACAAAUAAACUCUUGAGAAACAUUAGAAUAUAUUUUUUAAUGUAUUUUAAUUUAUUGACAUGUGAUCUUCAUAAUCUAAAAUAAAUAAUAGAUAAAGAAAAGGAAGAUGAUCAAUUAUAAUUAUCAAUAUAAUUCUAUAUCAUAAAAAAUACAAAGAAAAGUUAACUAACAGAAAAUUUUAAUUUUUGAAUUUUCCUUUAAAAUUAGUUGAAGCAAAAAAGUGAACUAACUUAAUUAUCUUAAAGGAAAGAUACUGAAAAUAUUAAAUAGGCAAAAAUAAAUAAUUGAAAAGGGAUGUGGAAAAAUGUGGCACCGAAAAUCAUUUUGAAAUGUAACUAAAAAAAAGAGAUAGAAUUACAUAAAUACAAUAAAAUUAUCCAAAUGAAAAAUAAUAGGAACAAAAAUAGAACAAGAAACUCAUAUAAACAAAAAAAAAAUNNNNNNNNNNNNNNNNNNNNNNNNNNNNNNNAAAAAAAAAAAAAAAGAGAGAGAGAGAGAAAUUUCAAAAUGUCAACUGUCAAGAAUGAAACAUAUAUAUAAUUAAUUAAUUUGUUUCUUUUUCUUAAUUAAGUUCCUGAAAUUAUGAUUUGUUUAGAAAGGUUUAAAUUUUCAGAUUUGAUUGCAUCAAUGUCUUACUAUUCUUGUCACAUUUAUAUCUAUAGUAAAGUUAGAUGUAGAUAAAGUGGUGUGGUCACUUUUUAUGAUCUAGAAAGUCAUUUAUCUUCUUUUUUUUCAUUAAUUAAUAUAACCAAUAAUUAAAAGAAUCUAUUAUAUUUAUUACAUUUAAUUAUAUAUCUCAUGAGUUAUAAAAAAAACCUUUAUUGUUUUGUAUCCUCUAUUUAUUAAUAUGUCUCAUCAAUUCUUUUUACGUAAUUUUUACAUUACAUGUAUUUUAGCUAGACAAAAUAAGAGUGAUGUAACACCUCUCUUUUCCCAAAAAUAGAAUUUAUUUAUUUAUUUUUAUUAUUCUAUUUUUUACUUUUGAUCUCAUUUUUAUCAAUAAUUAAUCAGAUAAAUUAAUUUUUUAUAAAAUAAUUUGAAAAUAUGAUUUUUAUCGUUGCAGAUAAUCAUUAUCCACAAUUAUACAAAGGAACGUGUCCAUGACCUUACAAUGCAAGUAAAAACGGACAACACCCCUCAAUACCUACACUUUUGAUGAAACUAUUGAUAUGUAUUGGUAUCAAUAAUCUUGCAAAUAGUAUGUGACUUCUUAACUUUUGAAGCUAAUGAUUCAACAAGUUAAUUUGUAUAUAUCAUUGUUCAAAUACUAUACUUAUUGAGAGUAUGAUAAAAAAAAUUAUUUUGAUAUAUUACUACAAUUCAUAUUUCUAAUUUGAAUUCUUGAAUGAAUGUAAAUUUAAUAUGAGCUCGAUACAUACUACAGUUCACUUAUAAGUUACAAUGCAUUGGAGUCAAGCAGGCGCAAAAGAAAAAAUAAAUAAUUGUGAUGUAAUGUGCUUAUGAUGUUCUUCAAUUCUGAAAGGACUGACAAUUUUACUUCUUUGUAUAGUUUAAUAUUAUUUCUUUUGUAAGUUUUAUUCUUUGUGAAGCCUUAUGUACAAAACAUAAUUUUUUAGACAUUUUAUGUCUUAACCAUAAAUUUUAAAGGAUAAGAUUCUUUAAGAGCAAUAUUUUAUUAAGAAUAAAAUAUGUUUAUGUAUUUAUCAAGAAAACAAGUUUUGUGCAGAGAUGUGAGAAGUUAACUAUGGAUGGUUUCAAAAAAAGUAGACGCAGACCAAAGAAGUAAUAGAGGGGUGAUUACACAGGAAAUAGACAUCUUUAACACUAAUUUAAUUGAAGUAAACAUAAUGUAUAAUUUUACCUUUAUAGGUUGAUAGCAUAAAAAAUUAACUCUGCGUUUUAGAAGAACAAAAAAUAAUUGUUAAAAAAAUGUUUUCGUAAAAAAUAUGUAUUAAAUAUAUUUACAUUUUUAAGCAUAUAAGCUUAUAAAUAUUUUAGAAUAAAUGAAAGGAAACUUAUGUAUAGAUACACAUAUAGAUGAAGGUUCAACUUAUUAAAUCAAAACUUACCUUUUUUAAUUAAAAUAAGGUGAACAAUUUUAGCGAUGUAGGUUUUUUUCAGAAGACCUACGAUUUUUAAGCGAUAUAAAAUCGCAAAAUAUAUAAAACAUAAGUACUAAUAAUAAACUAAAUUAAGAAUGAAAUUUGAUAUAUUUGAAUUAAACAUUACAAAGAAUUUUUAGAAUAUUUUUAACACUCAAUUAUUCUAAAAAUUAAUUAUUUGACGAAUUUAGCGAAUUAUUUCUAAUCGCACGAUGCGCGAUUAAGUUCAAUAGUUUAUAUUUAUAUAUUCAAACUUUUAUGGCAUAUAGCUGCUAAUCUAUAUAUUAUAUAAAGCUUAAAGAUGAAAGAUUAAUGUGACUUGAGUUGUAGAAGAUCACUGCACAUGCACUAGAUAUUACUCCAAUUCUAUUUGACAAGGAACAUGAAAAGUUCACGUAACUUUUGGAAGCUCAAGGGAAAAAAUAGUAAAUGUGAGAUAUGAAAUAGUAGGAUUGUAAAUUGAGUUCAAGUAAUCUGUAUUAGGUUAAUUAAUGGGGAGAUGAAAGAUUUCUAUCAAUUAAAUGUAGUUAAAUUACUGAUAAAUAACUUUUUUUCAAAAUGAUAAAAUGAUUACUCAACUUUUAACUAUUUAAUAUUUUAUUAUUUACAUGUUUUAUAACAUUUUUAUUUAGUCUAGGGGCAAAAUGGUAAUCCAACUUUGAAUGUUGGAGCUUCCCACUUACAAUAACAUAUGAUGAUGAUGAUCUAUGUAGGGGUGGAUCCACGUGGCUUCCAAGGGGUUCACGAACCCCUGGGUAAAAAAUUACACUGUGUAUAUAAGGUAAGUUUUCUGUAUUUUUGUAGAUAUAUUAAUUUAAAACCCCUUCAUAAACAUGAAGUAAGCUAUAGCAUAGUGGUAAACUUCUUUUUAAAUUGACCCUACUGUCCAGGGUUCAAGCCCCAUUGUGAGCAUUUGUAUUUUUAGCUUCUCUUCCUUUAGUUUCAGGAUCAAUCGUUUAUACUUUUAUUUUUCGAACCCCCUGAAUGAAAUUCCUAGGUCCGUCACUGGAUCUAUGACUUUUAUCAUUGUUUUCAGACCUCAUGUAUACCAAUCAAUAGCUGAAGCAAUUCAAGUUGCAAUUCGACCCCAGGCGGAAGUGCCUUUGUUGAUUCUUUUGCAAUUUGAUCAAAUAUUGUCAGGUACAGUCUUUCUUUGACUCUCAUGAACUUUACUGACGCAUAUUUUCAUCGAUUCUCCUUAUAGCUCUAUUUUCUACUUCAUACAGAUCAACCGAGACAUACUCAACUCAAUCAAUGCUUCUACUUGGUGCAGAGCAACCAAAACAAAUAUUGUAAUAAUCUUUACAUUGUUGGGCCCGGGCUAACCUUACUAGUAUAUACAAAAGUGACUAACAUAUGGUUCAUAUAUAUAUAUAUAUAUAUAUAUAUAUAUCCUUUAUCAUUAAAAGUGGUUCAGGUAUAUCAUAUUUUUCUAAUGGAAAGAAGGAAAAUUUUAAUUUUAAAUUAUAUUUUUGAUUUUUUUUAUAAAUAAAUUCUUGUAGGGUACAUAUAAUUAUUUUAGCAAAGGAUUUUUCUCACACAUGAUUUAUCUUUUUCGACUUUUGUGAUUUAACACUUAAUUUGAGUGUAAAAUAUUUCCCUUAUAGAUCUAUUUGCUUAUCAUUAUUUGAGUUUUUUAUUCUUAUAUUCUUUUAUUUUUAGUGUAAAAAUAUAAGAAAUAAAAGGGCCAGAGAAAAAAUUGGGCAAUCAUCAAAAUUGAUUAUUAUAUAUACAUUUUAAUCCUUGAUCAAAGUUUAUGGAAUCGAAUUUUGAAACUAUCUUUAAUAGACAAUAUUUCAUUUACAAUAUUUCUUAGAUAUAUGCUCAUGUGUAAGUUAUAACAAUCACACAGAAAAUGACUCAAACACCAACAUAUUUAGUGAAAUUUUGAAAGGAUGGUGGAUACUCAACGUACCUACCUUAUAAUGGUAACGAAGUUGUUUCGGACUUGAAAACCAACAUUACAAAUAAAAAUUUCAUCCAUCUAUCGUUGAUACAAACCCCUUAUAUACAAAUUGUACCAACAAUGUAGAACAUAUUCUUAACAUACCAUCUUGUAAUACGUGUUUGAUUGAAUACGAAAUUUAAGAAAGAAACAAAAGCAUUUGAAAUAUGUGAUCUAAAACAAGUCAUCAGUCAUUGCAUCCUUUUCAUACACCAGGCGAAUUCCCCAGCAGCGUAGUUCUUCCCACUUCCUGUACAAAUCAUAUACCUCCAACAUGUAAUAAUCAUUUGGAUUCUUCCCUUCUUUAUUGCCUUCUCCAUUCCACAAUGUUUCAAAUGGUAUGUAGACGCAACAAAUGAAAGGAUCGAUGAACCUCGAAUAUCGUUGGAUGCUGUUAUACUUCAAGGGAUAUUUUCUUUCAGGGUCAGAUUUGCAGAUCAAUGCAGCUUUUAAUAUUGUGUCCAGUCCAGUAGGACCGUAACAUAACCAAAAACCCAUGAAUUUAUCGGUAUACCAAGAUGGGUUCAGAUCAAUUGAGAUCACUUUUUGAUUUAUAAACCGAUCAUAAUUGAACAACUCUGGAAUUCUGUCUUGAUCAGGAAAAAAAAUGACAAAAUAAUCCCUUUGAUGGAAGUCACACUGCAUGCAAUAUAAUUAUUAUUAUUACUACUAGAAAUCAAUC
rnacentral:lncRNA from 1 species